rnacentral:rRNA from 1 species
AUUGAACGCUGGCGGCAUGCUUUACACAUGCAAGUCGAACGGUAACAGGCCGCAAGGUGCUGACGAGUGGCGAACGGGUGAGUAAUGCAUCGGAACGUACCCAGUCGUGGGGGAUAACGCAGCGAAAGCUGCGCUAAUACCGCAUACGAUCUCUGGAUGAAAGCGGGGGACCGAAAGGCCUCGCGCGAUUGGAUCGGCCGAUGUCAGAUUAGGUAGUUGGUGGGUAAAGGCCCACCAAGCCAACGAUCUGUAGCUGGUCUGAGAGGACGACCAGCCACACUGGGACUGAGACACGGCCCAGACUCCUACGGGAGGCAGCAGUGGGGAAUUUUGGACAAUGGGCGCAAGCCUGAUCCAGCAAUGCCGCGUGCAGGAAGAAGGCCUUCGGGUUGUAAACUGCUUUUGUACGGAACGAAACGGUCCUGGUUAAUACCUGGGGCUAAUGACGGUACCGUAAGAAUAAGCACCGGCUAACUACGUGCCAGCCGCCGCCGUAAAAC